AUUACGGCAAGAUGAAGUGUUCUUUUUGAAACGUUUCCAAAAGUUCUACUGAGUGAAAUAUUGUAAAAUCGUGAAUCCCGUCCGUCCUUUGAUUCGAGCAAACAAAAGUUGAAAAUCCCAAGUUCGCAGGGUUCCGAUAAAAAUAUUUCAAAAAGUUUCGAAAGAAGGAAAAUUAAUUGCGAAAAUUGACGAAUAGAAAAAUCACCUCGAGGCGAUUAAGAGUUCAAAUGUGGAGUUUCGUUAUUUUAACUAGCGACGGAUUGGAUCAGGAAUCGUGAAGCAUAUUAUCAAAACGGAUGGAUUUAAAAGAUUGUGCAGGAGAUCUCACACGGUUUGCGCCACUCAGCAGAAGAAACAGGAUGUGGUUUCGCCAGGAUGGGGCCCCAUUCGAAUAAAAAGAAGAA